AUGGCUCACUCAUCUUUCUGUCCAUCAGAUGGUCAUAUUUCUCUUUCUGACAGACAAAGCAGAUCGGCUCAGCUGAUGGACAUGAGGUCUCUGUUGUUACUAUCAGGUAAAAACACAAGAGUUCAGCAUCAUCUUAUUGUCAGAUUCUGUGUUAUCAGUGUCUGCACAUUUUGACAAACUCUUGCUCUUUGCUACAUUAAAGCUGAAGUUUACUUUAAGUCAGUUUGUAGCUUUCACUCAACUCAAGAGGCAAAAUACUUAACAAGCUUUGUUUGUCUGAUUAAUAUAUUGACAUUAAAUGAUGAUAAAUGUUUACAAUUUUCCACAAAUGAUCCAAUUUCAGGGCA
rnacentral:lncRNA from 1 species